UCAUUUAUUCACUCUGAUUUAAGGUUUUGCGUGCCAGUAAUACAUUUUAAUAUUUUUAGAAGGUCUCUGUCUGUAAGUCUAUAAUAUAUAACUAAACUAUUGUUGUAUGUAAAGUAAAUAAGGUAUUUAAAAUGUUUAAAAAGCUUCAUUUAAAAUUAAAUUAAAAUGCAGAGCCCCCCCAGACCAGUGGCCAGGACCUGGGUAGUGUGAGUGCCACUGAAAAUCAGCUCGUGUGCCGCCUUCAGCACCUAUGCCCUAGGUUGCCUACCCCGGCAUAGAGAAUACACCUAUAAAGUUUGUGGAUGAUACCAAGCUGGGAGGGGUUGCAAGUGCUUUGGAGAUAGAAUGAAAAUUCAAAAUGAUGUGGACAAACUGGAGAAAUGGUCUGAAGUAAUUGGGAUGAAAUUCAAUAAGGACAAAUGCAAAAUGCUCCACUUACAAAUGAACAAUCAGUUGCACACAUACAAAAUGGGAAAUGACUGCCUAGGAUGGAGUACUGUGGAAAGGGAUCUGGGGGUCAUAGUGGAUCACAAGCUAAAUGAGUCAGUAUUCUGGGAUGUAUUAGCAGGAGUGUUGAGGCCUUGUCAGCGCAGAGUAGAACAAAAGAAUUACAUCUUCAACUCGAGUAUUGUGUCCGGUUCUGGGUGCCACAUUUGGGGGGCUCCCAGGAAAAAUGGGUGUCCCAGCCCCAGGGCAGAAAUCCCUAUGAGGCCACCCUGAGCCCUGGCAGGAGUGGGGGAGCCCUGGCUGGAGGGGUGGCAGGGUAUAGUGGCAAAACCCCAGACAGGCCCAUCCCUAGCUAUUUUGGCUCUGUGGGGCCCCACCCCAGGCCUCUGCAGGGAUGGGGGGGUUGUCCACUUUCUGCGGGAAAUGGAGUGACCUGGCCCCAGCUUGCUCUGCUUCCCUGGCUCCCAGAUUUAGGGGGAGAGGGGAACCGCCCCUCAGCACUGGCUGGCAGUGUGGUUGGGAGCCAGGGGAGUGGAGCAGGCUGGGGCCAGGUCGCUCUACUUACCAGUGAGUGCAGGCCCGACCGCUUCUGGAGUCUUCAGUGGAGUGAGGUCGGGGCUGGGGCAGAGCAGAGGUGGGAAGAGGCAGAGCAGGGGCUUGAGCCCUAAGCAGCUGCGUACUUUACAUAUGGGUAAGGAAGGCCCUGGCCCCAGAGCCUGGUCUGCCCCUGCCUCAGAGCUCGGGCUGCCCCAGCUUCAGCUGUUGGGAGCGAAUGUCCCCAGCUCGGCGGAAGCCACGCCUGGAGCUGUGGGGGGAAACUGAAGCCUGGAGUCCAGCUCCUGAGCUGCUGCAGCACAGAAAUCAGGGUGAACCACUCAUCUUUGCGCUUCCCUUGGAGGUGGGUCUGAUCUCCCCACUAAGUGUGGGUGUACAGGGGAAAGACAACUCCUGUCUCUCCCCAGCACGGACACAUUAGCAGCUCGGCUCUGAGCAGCAGGGGAAAUCAGAUUUCAUGAGGGAGGAUUGAUUUCAUGGUCUGUGACAUGUUUUUCACGGCUGUGAAAUUGGUAGGGCCCUACAUCUAAGGGAAGAUUGAGAAAACUGGGUUUGUUCAGUCUGGAGAAGAGAAGACUAAGAGGGAACACAAGUUUUCAAUUACAUAAAAGGUUGUGACAAGGAAGAGGGAGAAAAAUUUUUCUCCUUAACCUCUGAGACUAGGACAAGAAGCAAUGGGCUUAAAUUGCAGCAACAGCUGUUAAGGAUGGACAUAUUAGGAAAAACUUCCUAACUGUCAGGGUGGUUAAGCACUGGAAUAAAUUGCCUAGGGAGGUUGAGGAAUCUCCAUCAUUGGAGACUUUUAAGAGCAGGUUAGACAAACACCUGUCAGGGAUAGUCUAGAUAAUAAUUUUAAUCCUGUCAUUAAUACAGGGGACUGCACUAGAUCUCUCGAGGUCCCUUCCAGUCCUAUGAUUCUAUGACUUGCAGGAAUAUUAGCUAUUGAUCUAAGUAUGCUGGCCUUCAUACCAUUGAAAAACUUACAUUAAGGGCAUUUUAAAAAAAUCUAGAUUCCAGUUUAUUUCAUUUUGGAGAUGGACAGAAAUUAACAGUGUAUGUUUGCCCUUUUGGGGAGGUUACAGUUGUCUUAAGAUAAAAUUGAUCUCAAGGGAUAGUUAGGUUUGUUAGGAAGGGACCUAGUCCAUCUUGCUUCUGAAUCCUGAGAGAGACCAUCUCACAUGUAAUAACUGCCAUUACCAGCUUGUUUUGUCCCUGUCGGGCUUCAACAUGGCUGUUUAACUACUUCAUUGCUGAUAAUACUUUGCCUUUUAUACAGUCUUCUAUGUAGAGUGCUAUGCCAAGAACUACAUCUUAUUAAACCAUCUCAAAGUACUUCAGUAAUGAAACAUAUUGCUGCCCAGGAUGUCAGAUGAAUACUAUAAAUAUUUCUCACAUGGCAACAUGCUGACUAACCACCUGAGGAAAUAUGAGUGCCAGAAAUAAAUCCCAAUCAAUUAUAAGCUGAAAAAAUCAGUUACAACUAUGUCAAACCAAUAGAAGAAGAGUGGGAAGCACCCAUAGUUUAUAUCUGUGGCUCCUUAUUUAGACAAACACAAAAUGAAGGGAACAAUGAAAUAGUUAGGACUGAUCUUUAAUUAAACUUGUCAUCUGCCUCUAUUCCAAAGGCGGCACACAAACUGAUUUUCAGUGGCACUCACACUGCCUAGGUCCGAGGGGCUGUGCAUUUUAAUUUAAUUUUAAAUUAAGCUUCUUAAACACUUUAAAAACCUUUAUUUUACAUACAACAAUAGUUUAGUUAUAUAUUAUAGACUCUAGAAAGAGACCUUCUAAAAAUGUUAAAAUGUAUUACUGGCAUGCAAAACCUUAAAUUAGAGUGAAUAAAUGAAGACUCAGCACACCACUUCUGAAAGGUUGCCAACCCCUGGUUUAGAAACAUAAAUUCUGAGUUUCAACAGAUCCCAUGAGAGUAUGUAAGAGACAUUGAGGCAAGGGUAGAUUGGGGUUUGACAGUUGACUUUCAUUUAGUACAUUUGUAUGUUUGUUUUUAAUGUAUCAGUUCAAGUUCUUUUUAUUGAGUAUUUGAAAUACUUAG